rnacentral:rRNA from 1 species
CCUACGGGAGGCAGCAGUGGGGAAUUUUGCGCAAUGGGCGAAAGCCUGACGCAGCAACGCCGCGUGAGUGAUGAAGGUUUUCGGAUCGUAAAGCUCUGUCAGAGGGGAAGAAACUCCCGGGUGAUAAUAACGCCUGGGCCUGACGGUACCCUCAAAGGAAGCACCGGCUAACUCCGUGCCAGCAGCCGCGGUAAUACGGAGGGUGCAAGCGUUGUUCGGAAUUAUUGGGCGUAAAGCGCGUGUAGGCGGUUGGUUAAGUCUGAUGUGAAAGCCCUGGGCUCAACCCGGGAAGUGCAUUGGAAACUGGCUAACUUGAGUACGGGAGAGGGUAGUGGAAUUUCGAGUGUAGGGGUGAAAUCCGUAGAUAUUCGAAGGAACACCGGUGGCGAAGGCGGCUACCUGGACCGAUACUGACGCUGAGACGCGAAAGCGUGGGGAGCAAACAGGAUUAGAUACCCCCGUA